rnacentral:rRNA from 1 species
CGGAACGUGCCCAGUCGUGGGGGAUAACGUAGCGAAAGUUACGCUAAUACCGCAUAAGAUCUAAGGAUGAAAGCGGGGGAUCGCAAGACCUCGCGCGACUGGAGCGGCCGAUAUCAGAUUAGGUAGUUGGUAGGGUAAAGGCCUACCAAGCCAACGAUCUGUAGCUGGUCUGAGAGGACGACCAGCCACACUGGAACUGAGACACGGUCCAGACUCCUACGGGAGGCAGCAGUGGGGAAUUUUGGACAAUGGGCGAAAGCCUGAUCCAGCCAUUCCGCGUGCAGGAUGAAGGCCCUCGGGUUGUAAACUGCUUUUGUACAGAACGAAAAGGUUUCUAUUAAUACUAGGAGCUCAUGACGGUACUGUAAGAAUAAGCACCGGCUAACUACGUGCCAGCAGCCGCGGUAAUACGUAGGGUGCAAGCGUUAAUCGGAAUUACUGGGCGUAAAGCGUGCGCAGGCGGUUAUAUAAGUCAGAUGUGAAAUCCCCGGGCUCAACCUGGGAACUGCAUUUGAGACUGUAUAGCUAGAGUACGGUAGAGGGGGAUGGAAUUCCGCGUGUAGCAGUGAAAUGCGUAGAUAUGCGGAGGAACACCGAUGGCGAAGGCAAUCCCCUGGACCUGUACUGACGCUCAUGCACGAAAGCGUGGGGAGCAAACAGGAUUAGAUACCCUGGUAGUCCACGCCCUAAACGAUGUCA